rnacentral:tRNA from 1 species
GGCGAUGUAGCUCAGUGGUAGAGUGUUUGCCUAACAUGUGAAGCUCUGGGUUCAAGCCCCAGUACCACAA